rnacentral:rRNA from 2 species
AGAACGACUCUCGGCAACGGAUAUCUCGGCUCUCGCAUCGAUGAAGAACGUAGCGAAAUGCGAUACUUGGUGUGAAUUGCAGAAUCCCGUGAACCAUCGAGUCUUUGAACGCAAGUUGCGCCCAAAGCCUUCGGGCCGAGGGCACGUCUGCCUGGGUGUCACGC